rnacentral:rRNA from 1 species
UCCUACGGGAGGCUGCAGUCGAGAAUCUUCGGCAAUGGGCGCAAGCCUGACCGAGCGACGCCGCGUGGAGGACGAAGGCCUUCGGGUUGUAAACUCCUGUCGAGGGGGAGAAAGGUCCGCAAGGGCUUGAUCGAUCCCUGGAGGAAGCACGGGCUAAGUUCGUGCCAGCAGCCGCGGUAAGACGAACCGUGCGAACGUUAUUCGGCAUCACUGGGCUUAAAGCGCGUGUAGGCGGAUCGGAACGUCGGAGCCUGAAAGCCCCCGGCUGAACCGGGGAACGCGGCCCGAAACGACCGGUCUCGAGGGGUGGAGGGGGGACUGGAACUUCCGGUGGAGCGGUGAAAUGCGUUGAGAUCGGAAGGAACGCCCGUGGCGAAAGCGAGUCCCUGGACGCCUGCUGACGCUGAGACGCGAAAGCCAGGGGAGCGAACGGGAUUAGAUACCCCGGUAGUCAGU